CUGCAGCCCGAGUGGUGAUCGAUUUUAUUGAGCCUAAAGCGUCCGUAGCCGGACUAGUAAACCCUUGGGUAAAUUGGGCAGCUUAACUGUCCAAAUUCCGGGGGGACUGCUAGUCUUGGGACCGGGAGAGGUCAGAGGUACUCAAGGGGUAGGGGCUAAAUCCUGUAAUCCUUUGGGGACCACCAGUGGCGAAGGCGUCUGACUAGAACGGAUCCGACGGUAAGGGACGAAACCCUGGGGCGCGAACCGGAUUAGAUACCCGCGUAGUCC
rnacentral:rRNA from 1 species